AGUGAACGCUGGCGGCGUGCUUAACACAUGCAAGUCGAACGAGAACGGAAUAUAGCUUGCUAUAUUUGUCAGCUAAGUGGCGCACGGGUGAGUAAUGUAUAGAUAACCUGCCCUUAAGAAAGGAAUAACAGUUGGAAACGACUGCUAAUGCCCUAUAUGCCUUUAAUACAUAAGUAUGCAAGGGAAACGCUUUAGUGCUUAAGGAUGGGUCUGUAUGGUAUCAGCUUGUUGGUGAGGUAAUGGCUCACCAAGGGUAUGAGGCCUAACUGGUUUGAGAGGACGAUCAGGCGCACUGGAACGGAGACACGGGCCAGACUCAUACGGGAGGGGGCAUUGGGGAAUAUUGCAAAUUGGACGAAAGUCUGAUGCAGCAACGCCGCGUGGAGGAUGACACAUUUCGGUGCAUAAACUCCGUUUAUAUAGCAAGUUAAUGACGGUACUAUAUGAAUAAGCACCGGCUAACUCCGUGCCAGCAGCCGCCGUAAAAC
rnacentral:rRNA from 1 species